UACGGGGGGGGCAAGCGUUGUUCGGAAUUACUGGGCGUAAAGGGCUCGUAGGCGGCCAACUAAGUCAGACGUGAAAUCCCUCGGCUUAACCGGGGAACUGCGUCUGAUACUGGAUGGCUUGAGGUUGGGAGAGGGAUGCGGAAUUCCAGGUGUAGCGGUGAAAUGCGUAGAUAUCUGGAGGAACACCGGUGGCGAAGGCGGCAUCCUGGACCAAUUCUGACGCUGAGGAGCGAAAGCCAGGGGAGCGGAACAGG
rnacentral:rRNA from 1 species